GUGAAUCAUCAAAUUUUUGAACGCAAAUUGCGCUCUCUCCGGAGAGUAUGCCUGUUUGAGGGUCAGCCUAAAAAAAAUCGACAUAGUCGCUGUUUCGCGGUGACAUUCGCCGGAAAUUGGGUCAUCUUAAAACUUUGGGGUUUAAGCGGCUUAAAAUUUUUUUUACAAUUCCACGAACGUUUCUAAGAUUUACUUCUUACACGUUUAAGGUACUCG
rnacentral:misc_RNA from 1 species